GAUGAACGCUGGCGGCGUGCCUAAUACAUGCAAGUCGAGCGAACAGACGAGGAGCUUGCUCCUCUGACGUUAGCGGCGGACGGGUGAGUAACACGUGGAUAACCUACCUAUAAGACUGGGAUAACUUCGGGAAACCGGAGCUAAUACCGGAUAAUAUAUUGAACCGCAUGGUUCAAUAGUGAAAGACGGUUUUGCUGUCACUUAUAGAUGGAUCCGCGCCGCAUUAGCUAGUUGGUAAGGUAACGGCUUACCAAGGCAACGAUGCGUAGCCGACCUGAGAGGGUGAUCGGCCACACUGGAACUGAGACACGGUCCAGGCUCCUACGGGAGGCAGCAGUAGGGAAUCUUCCGCAAUGGGCGAAAGCCUGACGGAGCAACGCCGCGUGAGUGAUGAAGGUCUUCGGAUCGUAAAACUCUGUUAUUAGGGAAGAACAAAUGUGUAAGUAACUAUGCACGUCUUGACGGUACCUAAGCAGAAAGCCACGGCUAACUACGU
rnacentral:rRNA from 1 species